GACGAACGCUGGCGGCGUGCUUAACACAUGCAAGUCGAGCGGUAAGGCCCUUUCGGGGGUACACGAGCGGCGAACGGGUGAGUAACACGUGGGUGACCUGCCCUCAGCUCUGGGAUAAGCCUGGGAAACCGGGUCUAAUACCGGAUAUGACUCCAUGACGCAUGUUGUGGGGUGGAAAGCCUUGUGCGGCUGAGGAUGGGCCCGCGGCCUAUCAGCUUGUUGGUGGGGNGAAG
rnacentral:rRNA from 1 species